rnacentral:tRNA from 1 species
GGGAGUAUAGCUCGGUGGUAGAGCACGUGCUUAGCAUGCGUGAUGGUCCUGGGUUCAAUCCCCAGUCCCUCCA